rnacentral:tRNA from 1 species
ACAAAAUGUAGCUUAACUAAAGCACCUUGCUUACACCAAGAAAAUAUUUGUGAAAACCAAAUCAUUUUG